UUACUUUGGAGCUCUGGGACAGAAUAGGCAGUGGCUACCUUGAGCUGCAUAUUUCUUAAGUUUUCAAACCUUUUUGAAAAGGAGUAAAUCCACCCCACAGGGUCCUGAUUGGCCAAUUUAGUCCAUUCGAAAUCCUGAGUAGACCUACUCUGGAAAGCCUGACGCCACCGAGGCAGUGAGACCAAGCAAGGUCUGCAACUGGGCAGCCUGGGUGACUCCACCCCUUGUCACCUGGGCGACCUCGGGAAGAGAUGGCUCACCCUCCUCUGGUUCCUCAGUGAUAAAAUGAUCAGAAAAAUGUUCACUGAACUGUCAUCAAGAAAUGACACACGUCAAUUUCAACCAUUCGAUUUUAAUGUAUAUUCCAUGCAUCCUAAUCUUGCAACAAAGAUGGUUUAGUAAUAAAUGAUUUUAAAGGCA